UACAGGGGGUGCAAACGUUGCUCGGAAUUAUUGGGCGUAAAGCGCGCGUAGGCGGCUACUUAAGUCGGAUGUGAAAGCCCUUGGCUCAACUGAGGAAGUGCACCCGAAACUGAGUAGCUGGAGUACGAAAGAGGGUCGCGGAAUUCCCGGUGUAGAGGUGAAAUUCGUAGAUAUCGGGAGGAACACCGGUGGCGAAGGCGGCGACCUGGGUCGAUACUGACGCUGAUGCGCGAAAGGCGUGGGGAGCAAACAGG
rnacentral:rRNA from 1 species